GUAUCAUAUGAGAAAACCUUACUUAUGUGAGAAAAAUAAGAAUAAUUUAUAGCCAUUAAAUUAUUAUAAACGGUUGAGAUUAAAACUCCUCCUUAAGUUAAUCACGUGCCCUCUAAAUCCUAAACCUUUUGCGUUAUGUUCCCUCUUUCUCCUCUCUUCCUUUUUGGCUUUAUCCAUCACCAUCAUUCAACAGCUUCUUCGACGGAGAGAUGGUGGUUUGGGUCCUUCCACGGCGGCGAUUUCUUGCCACCGGUGGUGUCGACGAUUUGAAGGUGGCGAAACAAUCCUCGGUGCGCCCUCAUCUCUAGAUCGCUGAAUUGAAGGCUGCGAAACAAUCUUGAAAAUAUUUUUCCAACAAUGGUUCUUGUAGCUAACUCCUCACUGCUGUCUCCUUCAACUUGCAAGUUACAUAUAGCAACCUCAAGAGUUUAAUUCGGGUUGUUCUGCCCUACCCCUUCCGUCAUGAUGGUUGAAUUUCUAGUAUAGAACCAUUAGCCUAAAUCACAAUGGAAGUCAAUAACAACAAUUUAAAGAAGCACUUGGCAGGGAAUUUAUCACUACCAGAUUGGGUCAUAAACAAGACAAAGAGGAGGAGAAGAGAAUAUUCAUAAUGUUGUAGCUAGCAUUUUAUGGAAAUCAUAUUUCUAUUAACUUGUGGCCUUUGCGCCCUUUGUAUUUUAUCUUUGUAUAGUCUCAACUUGUAUUCAAUAAAUAAAGCCUUUGCAAACUUCAUAUAUAA